GAGUUUGACAAGAUUCUGAUAUAUUCCAAGCAGGUUGGAUAUACACCUGAUUAUUUGUUCCUUCUUCAAACAAUUCUUCGAUCUGAUCCUCAGGGAGCUGUUAACUUUGCACUCAUGAUGUCCCAAAUGGAGGGCGGUUGUCCAGUUGAUUAUAAUACAAUCACUGACCUUUUUCUACAGAGGAACAUGAUCCGUGAGGCA
rnacentral:misc_RNA from 1 species